UUGAUUUGAGCCAUUCAGGAAUAGAAGUGGUCCCACCCAACAUCAUAUCAAGUUUAUCUAAAUUGGAGGAGUUGUACAUGGGAAAUACCUCUAUAAACUGGGAAGAUGUGAAUUCAAAAGUUCAAAAUGAAAAUGCUAGCAUUGCCGAACUUCGAAAACUACCACACUUGACAGCUUUAGAAUUACAAGUUCGUGAGACUUGGAUGUUGCCAAGGGACUUGCAAUUGGUGUUUGAGAAGCUGGAAAGAUAUAAAAUAGCUAUUGGAGAUGUAUGGGAAUGGUCUGACAUUGAGGAUGGAACCUUAAAAACAUUGAUGCUCAAACUUGGUACAAACAUACAUUUGGAGCAUGGAAUUAAAGCAUUGAUUAAAUGUGUUGAGAAUUUGUAUUUGGAUGAUGUAGAUGGAAUUCAAAAUGUGCUUCCUAACCUAAAUAGAGAAGGAUUUACAUUGCUGAAACAUCUCCACGUCCAAAAUAAUACUAACUUGAAUCACAUUGUCGACAAUAAAGAGAGAAAUCAAAUCCAUGCGUCCUUUCCCAUCUUGGAAACACUUGUACUUCUUAAUCUUAGAAAUUUGGAGCAUAUAUGUCAUGGUCAACCUUCAGUUGCUUCUUUUGGAAGUCUCAGUGUUAUCAAAGUAAAAAAUUGCGUCCAGUUAAAGUAUCUUUUCUCCUUUACAAUGGUUAAAGGACUUUCUCACCUUUGUAAGAUUGAAGUUUGUGAGUGCAAUUCUAUGAAGGAGAUAGUGUUCAGAGACAACAAUUCAAGUGCUAAUAAUGAUAUUACUGAUGAAAAAAUCGAGUUUCUUCAAUUGCGUUCUUUGACUUUAGAACAUUUGGAGACACUUGAUAAUUUCUUCUCAUAUUAUUUGACACAUUCUAGAAAUAAGCAAAAGUGUCAUGGUUUAGAGCCGUGUGAUUCUGCACCAUUUUUUAAUGCUCAGGUAUGUUAUUUUGUUUUUAAGUUUCUCUCGAUACAAAUGAUAAAAAUUUUAAUAUCAAUUUUCAAUAUAUAUAUAUAUAUAUAUAUAGGGUGUAUCAAAUGAGAGGAGUGUUAAAAUGAGAGAUGAUAGCAUUAAAGGACAGCCGUUGGAGAGGAGAAGGCGAGAGAAGAAAGCAAAAGCGGAAAUGAAGGGAAUAAAAGAGAUUACAGGCUGCAGAUUUAAAAAUUAAGUAACACAAUUAAGAUGGAUCCAAGGGUUGUGAUUUAACCCUAUCAUCUCUCAAUGUAAAUAUUGCUCUCAUUUGAUACAUCCCAUAUAUAUAGGUGUGUGCGUGUGUGUGUGUGUGAGAGGCCUAUCGUUAUAGUCACCAUAUCACCAUAUAUACGCCUUCAAUAAUGUUUUUGUUAAUUUGUUUUUACGUAGGUUGUAUUUCCUAAUUUGGAUACCCUUAAAUUUAGCUCACUUCUCAAUUUGAAUAAAGUCUGGGAUGACAAUCAUCAAUCAAUGUGCAACUUGACUAGCUUGAUUGUGGAUAAUUGUGUUGGAUUGAAGUAUUUAUUUCCCUCUACUUUGGUUGAAAGUUUUAUGAACCUCAAACACCUUGAAAUAAGUAACUGUCAUAUGAUGGAGGAGAUAAUAGCUAAAAAAGACAGAAACAAUGCAUUGAAAGAGGUAUGAUAAUUUUUUUUUUUUUUGAGAGAAGGUAUGCUAAUUCUAUUAUUGGAGCAUCCAAUUAAUUUUAAAUAAUUAUUUAUACUGAUGGUGGUUAUUUAUGAAUUCAUAGGUUCGUUUUUUAAAUUUAGAAAAAAUCAUAUUGAAGGAUAUGGACAGCUUGAAGACAAUAUGGCAUUACCAAUUUGAAACAUCCAAGAUGUUGGAAGUGAACAAUUGUAAGAAAAUUGUGGUGGUUUUUCCUUCUUCAAUGCAAAAUACAUAUAAUGAGCUUGAGAAGUUGGAGGUUACAAAUUGUGCUUUAGUUGAAGAGAUAUUUGAAUUGACUUUCAAUGAAAAUAACAGUGAAGAGGUUACAACACAUUUGAAAGAAGUUACUAUAGAUGGAUUGUGGAAUCUGAAAAAGAUAUGGAGUGGAGAUCCGGAAGAAAUUCUUAGUUUUCAAAAUCUAAUAAAUGUAAAAGUAGUAAAUUGUGCAAGCUUGGAGUAUUUAUUACCAUUCUCCAUAGCCACUCGUUGCUCACAUCUCAAGAAACUUGGUAUAAAAUGGUGUGAAAACAUUAAGGAAAUUGUUGCAGAGGAGAAAGAAUCUAGCUUGAGUGCAGCUCCCAUAUUUGAGUUUAAUCAACUAAGUACUUUAUUGCUUUGGAACUCACCUAAACUCAAUGGUUUCUAUGCUGGAAAUCAUACUCUAGAAUGUCCAUCAUUGAGAGAAAUUAAUGUCUCUAGAUGUACAAAGUUGAAAUUGUUCAGAACACUAUCUACAAGAAGCUCCAAUUUUCGAGAUGACAAACCCUCUGUUUUAACGCAACCACCACUUUUCAUUGCCGAAGAGGUACGAAUAAUAAACACUCUGCAGGACUUGUUUUUAUUUUAUUUUACAUUAAGGAGUUAGCGUUAUUCUUUAAUCUUUUGAAAUACCGAUCAACUACUUCCUCUGAUCCUAAAUAUAUGAAAAGUAUCUUUUCUUUAGGUUCCUUGAAUAAUUAAUGCAUUUGAACUAUACUAUAUAAACUAAAUACAUCGUUUAUUCAAUGAACCUAAAAAUAAAAAUUUCUCUGAUAUUUAGGACCAGGAGUAUUACUAUUCAUUUAUAAAUUUGGAAAAAUUUAAAACUACCCAAAAACUUUAUAAAAUGACAAAGCCUAUUUAAUGUCAAAAGUUAUUAAAAUAUUUUACAUUAUAGAUAUCUCCCUACGGUCUCGAAUGUGAGAAACAAAACAAAAAAUUUGAUGGUCUCAAAUAUAAGCAAAAAUAUACAAAAGUCGUCCUAUUAAAUGUUGCUAUUCCAAUCUCACCCUCAUUAUCUUUAUUUAAUUUGUUUCACAUUCCCAUGUUUAACACUUUCUAAAGAUUAUUCAUUGGUUUAGUUCAAAAGUCAUGUUUUCUUGUAAAAUGUUUCUAUCAUUAAUGUUUGAAUGUGUACUACUUGAGAAAUAACUCCAGAACAAGGGAAAAAAAAAUAGAAAAAUGGUAUUUUUUUAUAAUGACUUAAAUACAGUCAUUCCACUUUCUUCGUAGGUGUUCCUUUUUUUUUUCCUUACAUUCAAGAUCGGAAGGAGUACUUGAUAAUUUCUAUAACAAAAAUAACAACUAGCAAGAGUGGCAUUUAAAUACAAAAUUGAUAUAUUUGAGUAUAAAAGAAAUUGAAAAAAGUAUAGAGAUAUUGGCAAAAAUUAAAAAGACAAAUUUUAGUCAAUAGUAAUUAUUGUUUCACUCAAUAAUAAAAUGUUUAAUUCUCUUACAUUGUUGUUUAAAUAUGUUUUAGGUGAUUCCAAACUUGGAGCUGUUGAGGAUGGUACAGGCAGAUGCUGACAUGAUAUUGCAAACUCAAAACUCAAGUGCCCUCUUUAGCAAAAUGACUUCUAUUGGCUUGACUAGCUAUAACACUGAAGAGGCAAGAUUUCCUUAUUGGUUUCUUGAAAAUGUGCAUACUCUUGAGAAACUACAUGUUGAGUGGAGUUGCUUCAAGAAGAUAUUUCAAGAUAAAGGAGAAAUAAGUGAGAAGACUCGUACACAAAUCAAAACACUGAUGUUGAAUGAAUUACCUAAACUUCAAUAUAUAUGUGAUGAAGGAUCUCAAAUUGACCCAGUUCUUGAGUUCCUUGAAUACUUAAAGGUUCGUAGUUGUUCUAGUUUGACAAAUUUGAUGCCUUCCUCUGUCACACUUAAUCAUCUGACGCAGUUGGAGAUAAUAAAAUGCAAUGGGCUAAAAUAUUUAUUCACAACUCCUACGGCGCAAAGUUUAGACAAACUCACGGUGCUGCAGAUAGAAGAUUGUAGUUCACUUGAAGAAAUAAUUACUGGAGUAGAAAAUGUUGACAUUGCUUUUGUUAGUUUACAAAUUUUGAAUUUGGAAUGUUUGCCAAGCCUCGUCAAAUUUUGCUCUAGUGAGUGUUUCAUGAAGUUUCCGUCAUUGGAGAAAGUAAUUGUUGGCGAAUGUCCUCGCAUGAAGAUUUUUUCUGCCGGACACACAAGUACACCAAUUCUUCAAAAAGUCAAAAUUGCAGAAAAUGAUUCAGAAUGGCAUUGGAAGGGAAACCUAAACAAUACAAUAUACAACAUGUUCGAAGAUAAGGUAUGCUUGAUUUACAACGCGCACACGUUUGUGUGUGUACAUUGUGACCAUAUAUCGUUAAAAAGUAGUUGUAAGAAUUUUUCAAAAGAAAAGUGAAAGUAAUUGCAUUUCAAAUUUACAAAGAACAUUUUUACCUAUGUAUAUAGAUUUUGUAAAUGCACUAUAUGUUACUACUACUUUUGUUUGAACUAACUCAUAAUACAAUUGUUUUACAGGUGGGAUUUGUUAGUUUCAAGCAUUUACAACUAUCUGAAUAUCCCGAGUUAAAAGAAUUGUGGUAUGGUCAACACGAGCAUAACACAUUUAGGAGUUUGAAGUAUCUAGUGGUUCAUAAAUGUGAUUUUUUGUCCGAUGUGCUCUUUCAACCUAACUUGUUAGAAGUGCUGAUGAAUCUGGAAGAAUUAGAUGUGGAGGAUUGUAAUUCAUUAGAAGCAGUUUUUGAUUUGAAAGAUGAAUUUGCCAAAGAAAUUGUUGUGCGGAAUUCUACUCAAUUGAAGAAACUAAAAAUAUCUAAUCUUCCAAAACUGAAGCAUGUAUGGAAAGAGGUAAGGGUAUCAUUAAAUAUCAUCCUUGCUCUGAAUAUACAUAAUACUAAUUAGGCUAAAUUGCUCACUUUGAAUAGGUUUUUUUUAAGGAUGAGUUAGACCUAAUAUAAGAUUUAAUAUGGUAUUAGAGCCUAUUCUAGACCCAUUAGGUCAAUGCUUCAGACCCAUUAGGUCUGAGCAUGAGGGGGUGUGUUGGAAAUUCCUUUUAUUGCGGUUUACCUUUAGCCGCUCCGACACUUGUGCUACAUUCAUUGCAGCCUUCAACACAUUUAUUGUAUUGAAUUUGGAGGGGUGAAUUUAGACCCACUUUGCUUAGAGAUAUGGCAUGUGUAGUGUUUAUAAAGUUUGGACAAUCCUCGUUUUACAAGUCGGUAUUGUAAACAUGACUUCGGCCCAAUAUAGAAUUUAAUAUUUAUAUGACAACCCAUCUUUAUAGGCAUAUUAAUUAUUAUACAUCAAUACUAAACCCUUACAAAGAAAAACAUUAGUAAAAUAACUCUUAGCGUUUGUUUCAAGUUUACCAAAUUUAUUCCUAGGAAUAACAUUCCUUGGAAUAUAAAGAUGAGAAUUUUUAUUUCAAGGUAUUUGGAAAAAAUAUGUUUGGUUAACUUUAUAAUAUUCCUAGGAACCAUAAAAUUAGGGAUUAUAAUAGGUAACUACAUAUGAAUUUAUUCUCAUCUCCAUGGGAACUUUAUUCCCACCAUUUUCUUUGGGAAAUUUUUUCUAUUCCCAGGAACAUUUUAUAUCCGGGAAUAAAAUUUAGUAAACUUGUAACAAACGUAUACAUAUAUAUUUCUAUCAUUUUAUUCUCAGGAAUCAACAAAUUUAACUUGAAACAAACCCAUCAAUCAUCGGUUAGUGAAGCUCUUAAUAUGUAGACACUCUCUAACUAUGAUAAUCGAAUGAAGUUUAUUGCUCCUCACCUCUCAAAUUCUCUCUCCGGGUUUCUCUAACUUCACACUAAUCAAUACAACUAUUUGAACUCUUUUUUACUUGUUGUGAUUGAUUCUAGACCCAAAAUUAUGUUAGAUAUCUUGUUUGUUGGGAAGAGGCUGCUGCACUUGAAACCUGAAAUGUUUAAUGCUUACGCAUGUAAAAUUCAAAGCGCAUGGGGUUGCCACACUAACCUUUAGGUUCGAUUCGCCCCCACCAAUAACUGUAUAUUGGAUGCAAUAGGAGUUACCGGCGAAUCCCCUUCAGGAUACUAUGAGUUCCUUGACGUGUAUUGCACAACCACACCAAGCGUAUCUCCUAACAGUAUUUUACAGAUUUAUGGUUUCAGCAAUUCACUCAUGCAUUAGAGAAUUAAUGGAUGAUUUAGAGAGCAAGAGAAUGAGGGAGAAUUAUGUUGUUAAUGCAACAAAAUUCUAUCCAAAAUUGUGUGUCAAAUUAAUGCCAAGUAUUUAUAGUGCAUUAUAUGACCCUUCACAUGAGAGAAAACACCCCUUUGACUUGAAUCAAUGUUAUGGUUCAUUAAGUACCCUUUUGCCAAGGGUUAUGAUCAUACACACUUGAGUCAAUGCAAAAGUUCAUUAAGCACCUAUUUGCCAAAGGUUCCAAUGUAUAUGAAAGACUCUCAUGAAGAGUUACAACUCUUGGUGAAGAGUUACAACUUUUGGUUCUAAAGUGAUUCCAUUAUUUUGGAAAUUACCAAUAAAUUAUAAGAAAACAGGUAUAGAUUUUGGGAUGUGUAAUCCUUCAAUUAUGAUUUCUGUUAAUCUGUUUUUAUCCAUGCAGGAUGCAUUUCCUAGUUUGGAUACCCUUAAAUUGAGCUCACUUCUCAAUUUGAAUAAAGUCUGGGAUGACAAUCAUCAAUCUAUGUGCAACUUGACUAGCUUGAUUGUGGAUAAUUGUGUUGGAUUGAAGUAUUUAUUUCCCUCUACUUUGGUUAAAAGUUUUAUGAACCUCAAACACCUUGAAAUAAGUAAUUGUCCUAUGAUGGAGGAGAUAAUAGCUAAAAAGGAGAGAAAUAAUGCAUUAAAAGAGGUAUGGUAAUUCUGUUAUUGAAAACUUACAAUUAUUUUAAACUUGUACUGAUGGUGGUUAUUCAUGAAUUGAUAGGUUCAUUUAUUGAAAUUAGAGAAAAUUAUACUGAAGGAUAUGGACAACUUGAAGUCAAUAUGGCACCACCAAUUUGAAACAUUGAAGAUGUUGGAAGUGAACAAUUGUAAGAAAAUUGUGGUGGUUUUUCCUUCUUCAAUGCAAAACACAUAUAAUGAGCUAGAGAAGUUGGAGGUCACAAACUGUGCUUUAGUUGAAGAGAUAUUCGAAUUGAAUUUCAAUGAAAAUAACAGUGAAGAGGUUAUGACACAAUUGAAAGAGGUUACUAUAGAUGGACUGUUCAAGUUGAAAAAGAUAUGGAGUGGAGAUCCUCAAGGAAUUCUUAGUUUUCAAAAUCUAAUAUAUGUACUACUAGAUGGUUGUACAAGCUUGGAAUAUCUAUUACCACUCUCCGUAGCCACUCGUUGCUCACAUCUCAAGGAACUUGGUAUAAAAUGGUGUGAAAACAUGAAGGAAAUUGUUGCAGAGGAGAAAGAAUCUAGCUUGAGUGCAGCUCCCAUAUUUGAGUUUAAUCAACUAAGUACUUUAUUACUUUGGCACUCACCUAAACUCAAUGGUUUCUAUGCUGGAAAUCACACUCUGCUAUGUCCAUCUUUGAGGAAUAUUGGUGUCUCUAGAUGUACAAAGUUGAAAUUGUUCAGAACUCUAUCCAAUUUUCAAGAUGACAAACACUCUGUUUCAACGAAACAACCACUUUUUAUUGCCGAACAGGUAUGCAUAUCAUAUAAAUUUAUAUAUCAUAAUGACUCUGAUUCAUUCAGCUCUAACAGUCAUUGUCUAUUUACAUGUCUGGUAAUUAAAGUAUAAAAACAAAAAUGAAAUCUCUAAAAAAAUUAUAAAAUAUGUAUUUUUAAAUAUUUUUAAAAACGCCAUAUAAUCAAUUGAGAGCAAAAUAUUUUGAACUAUUAAUAUCAAAUGUUAUUAAAAUAUUUUACUUCAUAGAUGUGCUUUAUAAUUUCUAUAACAAAAAUAACAACUACUAACAUUGGCCAUUUCUCAAAAGUAUUUGAUAAAUUCUAUAAAAGAUAUAUGUGAGUUUAAAAGAAAUUGAAAAAAGUAGAGUAUUGGCAAAUAUUUUUUUUAAUUAUUUUACAUUGUUGUUCAAAUAUGUUUUAGGUGAUUCCAAACUUGGAAAUGUUGAGGAUGCAACAGACGGAUGCUGACGUGAUAUUGCAAUCUCAAAACUCAAGUGCCCUCCUUAGCAAAAUGACCAUUCUUGGUUUGGCUUGCUAUAACACUGAAGAGGCUACAUUUCCUUAUUGGUUUCUUGAAAAUGUGCAUACUCUUGAGAAACUACAGGUUGAGUGGAGUUGCUUCAAGAAGAUAUUUCAAGAUAAAGGAGAAAUAAGUGAGAAGACUCAUACACAAAUCAAAACACUGAUGUUGAAUGAAUUACCUAAACUUCAACAUAUAUGUGAUGAAGGAUCUCAAAUUGACCCAGUUCUUGAGUUCCUUGAAUACUUAAGGGUUCGUAGUUGUUCUAGUUUGACAAAUUUGAUGCCUUCCUCCGUCACCCUUAAUCAUCUGACGCAGUUGGAGAUAAUAAAAUGCAAUGGGCUAAAAUAUUUAUUCACAACUCCUACUGCACGAAGUCUGGACAAGCUCACAGUGCUGAAGAUAAAAGAUUGUAAUUCACUUGAAGAAGUAGUUAAUGGAGUAGAAAAUGUUGACAUUGCUUUUAUUAGUUUACAAAUUUUGAUGUUGGAAUGUUUGCCAAGCCUCAUCAAAUUUUGCUCUAGUAAGUGUUUCAUGAAGUUUCCGUUGUUGGAGAAAGUAAUUGUGAGGGAAUGUUCUCGUAUGAAGAUUUUUUCUGCUGGAGACACAAGCACACCAAUUCUUCAAAAAGUCAAAAUUGCAGAAAAUGAUUCAGAAUGGCAUUGGAAGGGAAACUUAAACGAUACAAUAUACAACAUGUUUGAAGAUAAGGUAUGUUUAUUUACCACUUUACUGCUUGUGUAACAAUAUUAUGAUUUGGGUUUCUAUUUUCUUUUAUUUUCUUUGGAUGCAUAAUAGUAGAUUUUUAAUUAUCAAUGUUGAAACUCUGGAAAAACAUAAUGGUGAAUAUGGCAACAACAAUAGUGUGAAAAGGGGUGGAAAGGAUGCCCAUUACCAAUUAGCAACCAUGGUGCUUAAAUGUGCUUGGUGAGCCAGGUGUCCAUCCAAAAUUCAGUUGAGCCCAUUAUCUUCCACCAUAUGAAUGUAUCAGUGUAAUUGUUAGUUAAGCAUGUAAUUAGUUUAGAACUAGUUAAGCCAUCUGUAUAUAGUUGGCACCUGAGCUGUCAAGUAACUGACUUGUGUCAGUUAGAGAUAAGUUAACAUGCUAUUGCAGGUAUUCAACAGCUUCGUAUAUAAAAGUUUGUUAGAAAAUUCUCGUUGAGUUUCUCUUAGUUUUACAUGGUAUCAGAUUAAUCUUUGAUCCAUGGCAACCUCUACGAUUCCCACUCUGCCGUCGCCACCGCCAAAAAAUGGUAUGCCGGCAACUCCGAUGGUUAUGCACACUCUUCUGCUCAGUUCCUUCGUAGAGGAAGAUUGAUCAAUGCAUUUUUGCAAUUUCUUUUUAUCCUGCAUUUUAACAUUUUGAAAGCUUUUUAUAUGUUUCUACAUAUUGGGUAUGAUUUGAGGGUUAAUGUAAUAAUUCUUGGAUUAAUCUCUGUAUUUAAUGUGUUCUGACUCAUGUUCAUUGUGUAGGCCAUAACUUCGGUUGAGGUUAUCCAAACUAGGCGUAAGUAUAGGCGUUGGAAAGCUAAGAAAUAGAUCUACAACUAUUAUGUUGAGCAGGAAUCCCAGUUUGGAUGUUCUCUUGAUGAACAAUUAUCAUCUCUGAAUCACUAAAGCUGAUGUGGGAUUUUGGGCCACUUAAUCUUUUGCCAUAAUGGGCCGAUUAGUCCUUUUAGCCCAACAAUUGAUCAAAUUCGGUUUUGCUAAUUAGGUUAAACUUGUAAUGGUAUAAAUAAGGCUGCUAUAGCCGGAACAUGGGGAUCUUUUGGCAGCUGUCAUUUGUUAUUUUCGAUGGAAGCUUAAUCAUGUAGAUCAAUUCACCUGUUAAGGAUUCUGUUUAAUGUCAUGAGGUCUGAAUUCUAAUGUCAAUUCUGUUUCUUAUGAUUUAAUAUCUUUUUACUUUCAAUAUUCUAUUUUUCCAUGAUCAUAUAUGUUUGGACGCUUGUUUCAUUUCAUAUUGAUUCUCAGUGGCGGAUGUUGAUUUAUUUUCUUGGGGGUACCAAACAGUUAUGGAAUAUAUAUUAUAUUAAAAUGAUUCAAUAAAUAGCAGUAGAACUCAAGUGUUCUGGUGGUUUGUAUUGCCGCAAACAUACCUGGCUGGUGCGGGUCGAACAUGCUACCUUCAUCAUAUAGAGGCACCCCCUUACCACUGCAACCACUGAGAAUUUAUUGAAAGUAUGGGCAUAAGGGCAUAAUACUAUAAAUAUAAUAUAGUAAGUUCAGGGGAUGCCAUGGCACCUGCCUGCCCUUGAGAAGAUCCGCCCCUGUUGAUUCUACCGAUUAAAAUUCAUAAUAAGUUCAUGUGUCUGAACGGUAGUUUCAAUAUAAAUCUGGUUAUAUAGAAUUGUUAUCGGGAACUUGCAUAGGACGCUUGAUUUAAAUUAUUUCAAAUGAUGAUUUUUGGGUUCUAUAAUGCUUAGGCGUAGGUUUGGUUGAACAUGUUAUUCAGAUUAGCCGUGAUUUUGUGACGCUUGCUCCAAAAUCACAUUAAAUCAAAUUCUAGAUUUUUUUGACGCUUGCUCCAAAAAUUAGCAGUAGUUCUAAUGAAUUAAUUGAUGCUUAAACGGUUAGUUUUAUAGCUAAAUUAGAGAGAAUAAAUUUAAUACCUGUGAUAGACCCGAAUAGAAUCUAACAAACCAGUGGAUUGAUUGUUUUGCCAAAUAGUUAAUUCUGCCAUUUUGAUCGUCUUUUCCACAAAUAAAACCCCUAAUUUACUUUCUUUUUUCUGUUCUAGUUUGGUUAUUAACAAUACAAAGAUCCCCGAUAAACGAGCAAGGUUUAAUUGCCUUGUACUGUUUUGUGAAUUCGGACUCAAAAUCACAUCAAUACAAACUAUAAUGUGUGGAGCAAAGGAAAGUAGUAACCAACAUCAAAGUAAACACAAGCAAUAACAACACCUAAAUCUAAUCUAGGAAUCAAAUGAAAAGUACAAAACCACAAGCAAAAGAUAAAGAGAGAAGAGAAACAAAUACACCAAAGAUUGUUGACCCAGUUCGGUCCAACUUAACCUACUCUGGGGGAGAGAUUGAUCUCUCCAAUCCACUAUCAAUGAGUUCUUACAAAGAGAUAUAAAUGGGUAACAAGAAAUUAGCUUCAACAAGCUUACAAAAAACAACCCUAAUUUCUAUCCGUUUUCCCAAUCUCACAAAUGAACAAGACACUCAAUGAUUUUCACUACCCCAAGGUGUUUACAAUGUUUCUCAACCUAAGAGAACUCUAAUCAAAGACCCUCAACCCACAAGUUACCUCCUUUGAUUUCCCAAGUUGUCAUCUCUUGAAGCUCUCUUGAACCACACUUCAAUAAAAACACUUAAAUAGCAGUCUUCAGCUGUCAAUAUCGUACGACCCACGGUACGACCAACCUUAUGUCAACGUGUCAAGCAAGCCGAAAAUCGUGACACAUUUUCCCAAAAUCGUAUCACGAUUGAACAAGAACACCCAUCAAAACAUGCUCUCGGCAUUGCCAAAUCGUGACACGCCUAUGAAAUCAUGUCACGAUUUCUCUGUUUCUCCAAACCACAAAUUUGAAGCCAAUAUCAACAUGUACUACUCUUUUUAUAACAAUUAUUUUGACCGCGAAUUACAGUGAUCAAAUUGGCACCGUCGUCGGGGAUCUCCGAUAAGGAUUAUCCAAAUUAAGAACCUUCAGUAACAACUCUUAACAUUUUCUCUCGAGUUUUCAUUGUAUUAGGUUCUGAUGUCGGAUAUUUCAUUUAAGCUAAAAAAAAUAAUUGAUUUCCAAUCAACUACUCCGAUUGCUGCGAAAUUUGGUGAGCAGUUCUAACAGUCAACUACUCCCAUGUUUUCCAAAUACACUCAUCCUUGCAUAUAAUGAUGUUGUUAGGGAAUACGAUGGAAAGACCAAACAUUAGGAUAUAAAAGGCUCAACCCAUACAAAUUUAUUUACAAGACCAAAAGAGUGAUAAAAUAUAUGUAUAUUCUGUUCCUUUUGAGUGUCAUUUUACAUAAAAUGUUUUUUUUAGGGAGGAAACAAAGCAAAUUUUUUGUUCCUUUGUAAUUGUCAUAUCAAAAUUUCAAACUAGCAUUAAAUUUUGUUUUCUUAAUAUUACCUCUUAUUUAUUGCAGAGAGUUAAAUAAGUGAGUUGAGAUGAUAAAUAAUUUAAGGUAAGAUGAAAUUGUUAAUAAAAAGUAGCAAAAUUUAAUAGCUUUAUUGGUUUGUGUAAACAGCCUUAAAACAACAAUUUCUUUUUUUUAUAAAUCUAAAUUAACCCACUCAAUUGGCACCAAAGAGAAUCUAACCUGAGACCUCUCACAUCCCAAGCCAAUGUCACUAGGCCAUAAAACAACAAUUAAAAAUGAACCGAUGGGGUAAUAAUUACUUAAUAGGAAGAUGCACUAGAAAAUCUUAUAAUCUUAGAAUAUGUACGAUAAAUAAUUUGAUAGUCUGUUGCAUAGGUAAAUCAUUCUAUUUUUUGAUGAAUAAUAAAUUUGUAAAUCUUAUAUUUGUGUACCUCGUAUUUUUUUCGAACAUUAUAUGUCAUCAAAACAAAAUAAAAUGAACACAAGACCUAACCAAAGAAAACUAGAGUGCACAAUUCUCUUUAUUCAUUUCUACUUUACUUCAGCUAUGUAUUAAAGUUUAUUCAAGAAUAUUUAUUACAGCCCCUAAAAACGAAUGUUUAUUACAAGUUACAACAUAUUAAAAAUCGAAGUUAAAUGCUAAGUAACUUUUAUUUAUAGAAUUUUAUCACUCCUGACAUAGUUGAGAUAACUCCAAGCAAUAUGAAAUUUAGAAAAUUCAGAGCUCAUGCUCAAUUUCUUAAAUUCGUUUUCGGUUCUUUCCUUUCCAUAUUGUAUUAAAAACAUGAGAUUCUCAAUAGCAUAAGAAUGCUUAGACAUAUUGCUUAGGUUUGGAGCCUUUGGAAUUACAUAAUCCAAAACAGUCUCCUUUUCGUAUUUUGGCAAAGCUUAGUAACAAUUUCUUAAAAAUUUCACACAUUCUUUAUUUGCCCAAUUGAUACCUUUUUAUACCAAUUGAUACCUUUUAUUGAAGGACUAGAUCAUCGACAUGUGCAAUGCACGCGUCUUUUAAAAUGUACUACCUUCCAACUCUUUUUUUUUUACUUUAUGAUAUCACCCAUGCAAUGAAUGGGGUGAGCUAUAUGAGAUUAUGAUAUAUAUAUUUUUACAUAACUAUAAACAAUGUGUCUGAUUUUUAGUUUGACGGUCUAAUUACCAUUAAUGUAGUAAAUCUACUCUACUAGUUUCUUAACAUGUUUGACGCAUGAAGUGCAUGUGACGAUUGAAACAUGUAUUAUUUAUUAGAAAAUAAUAAAAUUAUUUUUUGUAAAAAUAUCAUAAUCUCAUAUAAGGUAAACCAUUUAAAAAAAAAAAAACAAAAUCAAGACUCGUUCACGUUGCUCCUUUACAACACAAUCUUAAACAUCUUUGUGUUCCGUCAUCAUCAAACUAUGAAACUUCUAUGCCCUAAGCUCAUCCCUUUCCAUCUGACUUGGUAGAUGGAUUAUUAGCAUCUUUCAAGCACUCCUAUACAAAAUGAUAAAUUUAAAAUUAAAACAAACAUUGAAUUUUCUCUGUGCGUGUGAUGGACACAAACAUCCAACAUAGCCUAAAGGCAAAGUUGAUUUAUUCUAGAACAGUUAUAUCUUCAUGUGAUUCUAUAAGAAAGUUAAAACCAAAAGUAUCAUACUUUGGGGACCUUCAAACUAUUUUCUUUAAAAGUUAAGGAAAAUGUAGAUCAAAAUCAGAUAGAAUCAUAUAAAACAUAUUAAAUAAGUACAAAUUAGUUACAAACCCGUGCUUCGCACGGGUUGAAUAACAUAUCUUGUAAAAAAAAUUAUUCCAAAGGAAAAAUGAUCAAAUUAAUGAAUAUUGUACAAACUCGGAUAUUCUAAAAAAUCACUUUUACUGAAAUUUUAAAAAACUUUGUUAUAAAGGAGAAAUGAGCAAAUUAAGGGAAAAAGCUGCAUUUUUUUAUGAAAUUGUUGUCGUUCAUAAAUGUGAAAAUCAAGCAAGCAUAUUGCACAAAUCUCAGCUAUAUGUACAUUUUUAAAACAUUUACCAAAGCAUUAUAAAGAUUUGCUGUAGGAAAAUAGCAUGUUCUAUUUGGUUCAAGAGAUUAGGAAAACAACAUUAUAAUUAACAUGAUACUAAUUGGAACCAAUGAAGCAACCAACAAUGUGCAGAUUAACGUUAUAUAAUAGUCAGGUUUAUAAAAGAGACUGCAAGUGUCAUAGACUAACCAAAAAUGGAUUUUUGCCAAUAUUUACAUCAGACAAAAUGAAAAGAACAAAUGACAUUCCAAAGUCAAGAUAGGUUACGAUUACAGUCCAAAGGGAUACGCCAAAAUAGUAGAAGUUCAAAUAGUUUAACAGCAAAGAUAUAUUUUGGAACAGCUCGAACGUGCAAGUUCUUCGAUAACUUUUCGAGAUCAAAGAUGAGUUUACCACCUUCUUCCAUCACACGUUCUCUGCAGAAAUUAAACCACUGCGCCCCUAGUAUUUUUCAUAGCUUGCUCUUUCGGAGGUAAUGAGGCGACACUUAUACUUUCUCUGUGUCUGGUCAUCAAUGAGAGUGAUUUUUUGCGCUUUUCUUUCAGAAUUGUUCUUAAUACCUUGUUUGGGAAAUGCUAAAGGGAGAUAACUGCAAUAUUAGUCUAAUGCAUAUUAACAUGGAUAAGAUGUAUGUUAAUAUAGUUACAUAUAAUUUAUAAAAUGAAGGUAGCAUAACUGAUUUUAAGUUAAAGAAAAUGUACCAUGACUUCUAAUGUAUCGUCCUAUUAUAUUCCUAUAAAAUCUAGAUAAAUGCAUGCAUGUGGAUUAUAUGUACCUCGUUGGCCAAUUAACAUUGUUGAAACAAAUGGAAAUUAAGCAUCACUCCUGCAUGCGCAUUUAUAGCUAACACCAUUUUACAUUGAUGUCUUCGAACAUUUGGUGCAACUCUCAUGAUACCAUCCAAACUGGUUAGGAUUGAAUUUAGUUGUUUUCCAAAUAGUGAUGCAAUAUGUAUCCUAACACAAAUUAUACACAUGAAAUAAAGAAUAAUGCAAUAUGUAUUUUUAAUUUGUGCAUAAAAAACUUAAAGCAUGUUUGUGCAUAAAAAAUAAAAUUAAAAAAAAGCAGACCUUGACUAAGUUUAUAAAUUCAACAAUUGGCCUAACUUGAGACAGAUUGGAAAAAUCGUUGUACGAAGUACGUUGAGAAGAAGCCGAACUCUAACUUAAGUUCUGACUGUAGCUUUGACUCUGAGCUUGAGAAGUGUUAAGGUCACGAUAACAAUUCAAGAAACAUGGUCAAAAAAUAAUCAAAUCAGAUUGUGAAAUAAUAAGUUACUCUAACACUGUAUUGUGAAAUCAUAAUGCAAACUUACUAAGUCUUAAACUUCUCAACAACCGGAUGAUGUAGGUUGAUGAGCAACCUCAAACCUGACUAAUUGUUACAUAUAUUUGGGUUGCCGUUGACUAUAAAAUGGAAGCAAAGAACUCAAGGUAAAUAGAUGGUAAAUGAUAAAGUUACGAAGUAUUUUUCCCAUAGUGUUGCAUUAGCCAUAUUCCCACUACAUAAGGAAAUACAUCUUUCAGGUCAUUAUCAAACUUAUACAAAAUCCUAUCAUUUGAUGCUGACAAAUUAGAAAAUAAUACCUUUUAUUUUUCAACACAAUGUUCGUACACGGUUUCUUUCCAGUCCCAAUUGACGUUGUCUUGACAAUCUCAUGAAGAAGCCCGAUGAUUUCUUAAAAAGAAAAUUACAUCUAUAAGAACAUUAUAGUCGGUGAAAACAUAGAAAUAAAUGAAAGCACAUAAUUAUACCAUAUAAAACGUCAGUUUUGAAUUUUCCAUCUUGAAUUUCCUUAAAUGACUUAAAGCGAAAUUCAUGAGUAAGAACGUUGGUUUACUUGUCAUACUUCUGCACCUUUGUACCAGAAUCAAAAACAACUUUAAAGGGAUUAAAUGCAAUGUCAUUAUCAAGCACAUGACAUUUAUAGAAAGUAUAAGUCUUGUUUUCCUCGAUCAAAGCCUUCCAAUGCUCCAAUUCUCUAUAUCGAGUUAUUACAUGAACUCGAUCACCCUAAAUCCGAGAAAGAAACCAAAAAAUAUAAAUAAAUCAAAAUGUACACUAAUAAGUAACAUUGAUAAAUCAUAAAGGAAAUUACAACAAAUCUUAAAUAACUCAUCUAACUUUUGCAUCACAAAUAAUGAGCUUCAUGCGUUGAUUCUCAUUACUACCAGUCACAAUCCAAGAAUCCAACACUCCAAAUCCUAUUUUUCAAAUGUCCAAAUCAUUUUUGAGAUCCUUAAUGUAGUCAUAAUCCCUUGACAUUGAAAGUCCUAUAUGAAAAUACAAUAAUACAUCAUUUAAUUUUAUUCCCUUUGUUCAUUCUCAUAUCGAAAGAAGCUAACAUAUUUUUAUGUGACCAAAUUUUCUAUCAUCAAAUCAACCUAAUCUUAAAUGCACAAAUUUCUGUAUCAUCAACUUUCUGGACUUCAAUGUGUUGGAACAAAAUGUGUUUCACAAUGAACCUUAUUAAGUUUUGAUGAUAACAAGGUAUUAAAAAUUGUCAAUUGGUUAUUACUAAUAAUUGUUCAAGUGUACAGGACCAAAGGCUACUCAAGUUAUUUCAAUAGGUCUUGGAAGAACAAUGCAAAGAAAAAGAAAAUUCUGAGCAUCUGAAGAAAAACUGCUCCUGAAGCUGAAGUGCUUCUGAAAUGAUGACGUUCACAAAAACAAAAAGUCCUCCAAACCAAAAAUUUUUAAUCAAAACCAAUACCCUUCCCCAAAACCUACCGUUUGAUCCUUUAAACCAAACUAAAAAUCCAAGUACUCGAUUCUCAAUUCCCUCCUUAUCCUUAUACUAACCAAAAACCUAUCCGGUGCGUUUUUUUGUUUAUCCUCGGAUCACCCUCCGUCACCGAUGGCCCUCCUCAUGUUCAACCCACAUUCAAACUCACAUCUAAAUUAGUACACCAUUAUCAUCCUUUAAACAAUCUUCUCCAUAAAGAACAAAUUCAUUAUCAAUUAUAUAAAAUCACUACUAUUCUACCUAUUACAUGACUCAUUAUAUUAUCUUUGAAAUCCUAUUAACACCUUACCUUACCCUUUCCAUUAAAAAUUAUUAUCAUUCAAGAACAUUACCUCUUAAUGCCUACUUACCAUUAUCGAUCUUUUCCGAAAUUAAAUUCAUUCUCACGCUAUAUUCUUUUCGUUAGUGCUUGGAUUUAAUUAAUUUGCUUCUCCUCUCUUUACAUCUCUCUUUAUCAUAUUAUCCUCUAUCCAACAAAGAUUCAACAUCCCCAGAUACUUUCUAAUCACCAUUAUUACUUCAUCUUACAAAACUUAUGACCAUGCCAUCCAUGCCAUCACAACCUCCCAUCCACUAUCAACUANNNNNNNNNNNNNNNNNNNNNNNNNNNNNNNNNNNNNNNNNNNNNNNNNNNNNNNNNNNNNNNNNNNNNNNNNNNNNNNNNNNNNNNNNNNNNNNNNNNNUAUAUAUAUAUAUAUAUAUAUAUAUAUAUAUAUAUAUGUACACUAUGAAGAGAUUAGCUGAAACUUAAUUUGUACCCACUUUGUAAAUUUGUACUCGCAUUAUUUAUUAUUAUUUAUCUGUUCUCUUUCACUAAUAACUCGUAAAAUCCUUCAAUAUUUUGCAAAUUGUGAGUGUAGUUUGUUUUGAUAUUUUUUUGUUGUUUGCAGAUCAUUUAGUUUCUUCUUUUUGAAACCAUUUUGAAUAAGUUUUGUAGAUCACACCAUCAAAAGCACCAGUUGUUACGUUGAUUCAUAAUCUAGCCUAAUGAUCUUUCCUUUUUGUAAUUUAAUCAGAUAUUAUAACAAACUAAUAAUCAGAUAUUCUUGACGCGUAAUUGUGAUGAUUAAUCCUUUGAGUUUUGUAGGACCCAAAUUGUCAAGAAACUGUCCCUAACGUCAACCGUUGAUCUAAUUAAUUUUUUUUUUUUUGAUAGAGGGUUUGGCUACCUCUCAAAUAGGUGACUUUAGAAAUCAAACAUAGUUCUUUUGCUCGAGAUAAACAUGUUGCCAACUCUCCCACCAUGUUGGUUAAACUCGAUUCCUUGGCUAAGCCUCUUGGAUUAAUUCAGAAAUUUUAAUUUUACAUGUUUUUUUUAUAUUUUAUAUCUUUAACUUUUUGGUUGAAGUUUAUAUCUUUAACUUUUCUCUUGAGCUCUAAAAUGAAUUAUAUUUAUCUCUCAAAAACAAAAUGCCUAGGACAAAAAAUAUUGAGUUCAGAGUAAAACAACGGAACUUAAUUAUGGAAGAACCCAAAAACUAUACUUUUAGAACUUGAACGGAUGAAAUCAUUUUAUUUAUGGAGAUUAGAACUAAAUUCAGUCUUUUUAUAGAGAUAGAAUUAUAUUUAAAAAUUUUAUAAAAAAUUCAGUCUUAAAUUUUUUAUUGGUUACACAUGAUUGUAAUGAAAUUCAAUUCGCACAGUCUAUCAAUAUUAUUGGAUUUUAUUGUCUAUAUUUUUCUAAUUCUAACCAAAGUGUGUUCUAUUAUUAAUUGCUGUUUUCCAUCGGAAAAAAGAGUAAUGCGUUAAUGUCCUCACAUUUCCAAAUGUUGCCCUUAUUUCUUCUGCCUCAUCCAUAAAUGGUAUCUUUUACUUUCACUUUCAGAUUUUGACUCAAGUCACAAAGAAGAGGAGAAGAAAAUAAAAUCAAUGGAAAUUUUAACUUCUGUUGUUGGAAAAAUAACAGAAUAUACCAUUGUGCCUAUUGGACGUCAAGCAAGUUACUUGAUAUUCUACAAAGGCAACUUCAAGAAGUUAAAGGAUCAUGUUGAAAACCUUCAGGCUGCAAGAGAAAGAAUGCUCCAUUCGGUUGAAAGAGAAAGGAGAAAUGGUAGAGAAAUUGAAAAAGAUGUUCUGAAUUGGUUGGAGAAAGUGAACGAGGUCAUUGAAAAUGCAAAUCGGCUUCAAAACGAUCCUCGUCGUCCCAAUGUUAGGUGCUCAGCAUGGUCAUUCCCCAACUUGAUUUUACGUCAUCAACUAAGUAGGAAAGCUACAAAAAUUACAAACGAUGUUGAUCAAGUUCAAAGAAAGGUAGGUUUUUAAUCAAAUUGGCUACCUUCCCCCUCUAGAUGUAGGAGCCUCCUCCUCCUCAACAAGAGAUGGUGAAAAGUAUGACACAAGGGAGUUGCUUAAGGAGGACAUUGUGAAGGCUUUAGCAGAUCCCACUUCACGCAACAUUGGGGUCUAUGGGUUAGGUGGGGUGGGGAAGACCACUCUGGUGCAGAAAGUUGCUGAGACAGCCAAUGAACAUAAAUUGUUUGAUAAAGUGGUUAUCACAGAAGUAUCGAAAAAUCCAGACAUUAAAAAAAUUCAAGGGGAGAUUGCAGAUUUCUUGAGUCUGCGAUUUGAAGAGGAGAGUAAUCGUGGCAGAGCAGAACGCCUUAGACAAAGAAUCAAGAUGGAGAAAAGUAUCCUUAUCAUUCUAGAUAACAUAUGGACCAUACUUGAUUUGAAAACAGUGGGGAUUCCAUUUGGUAAUGAACAUAAUGGUUGCAAGUUGUUGAUGUCAUGCAGAAGUCAAGAAGUGUUGUCGCAAAUGGAUGUUCCAAAAGAUUUCACUUUCAAAGUUGAACUUAUGAGUGAAAACGAGACAUGGAGCUUGUUUCAAUUUAUGGCAGGGGAUGUGGUUAAAGAUAGCAAUUUGAAAGAUCUACCAUUUCAAGUGGCCCAAAAAUGUGCAGGUUUGCCUCUUAGGGUAGUGACAGUAGCGCGUGCAAUGAAAAAUAAGAGGGAUGUUGAAUCUUGGAAAGAUGCAUUAAGGAAAUUACAAAGUAAUGAUCAUACAGAGAUGGAGCCUGGAACUUAUUCUGCUUUGGAAUUGAGUUACAACUCAUUGGAGAGUGAUGAAAUGAGGGCUCUCUUCUUGCUUUUUGCAUUACUGUUACGUGAAAACGUAGAGUACUUUCUCAAAGUUGCAAUAGGGUUGGACAUAUUGAAGCAUGUUAAUGCCAUAGAUUAUGCAAGAAACAGACUUUACUCAAUAAUCAAAUCUUUGGAGGCGAGAUGUCUUUUGCUUGAAGUUAAAACAGACAGAAAUAUCCAAAUGCAUGACUUUGUUCGUGAUUUUGCUAUCUCCAUAGCACGUAGGGAUAAACAUGUACUUCUAAGAGAACAAUCUGAUGAGGAAUGGCCAACCAAGGACUUUUUUAAAAGGUGCACACAGAUUGCUCUGAAUAGGUGUGAUAUGCACGAGCUUCCUCAAACGAUUGAUUGUCCAAACAUUAAGCUUUUCUAUUUGAUUAGUAAGAAUCAAUCUUUGAAAAUCCCCGAUACUUUUUUUAAGGGUAUGAGAAGCCUUAGAGCGCUAGAUUUAACAUGCUUGAAGUUGUUAACAUUACCCACAUCAUUUCGGUUACUAACAGAACUUCAAACAUUGUGUUUGGAUUUUUGUAUUUUGGAAAAUAUGGAUGCAAUAGAAGCUUUGCAAAAUUUAAAAAUUCUCAGACUCUGGAAUUCUUCAAUGAUCAAGUUGCCAAGAGAAAUAGAGAAAUUGACUCAAUUGAGAAUGCUUGAUUUGAGCCAUUCAGGAAUAGAAGUGGUCCCACCCAACAUCAUAUCAAGUUUGUCUAAAUUGGAGGAGUUGUACAUGGAAAAUACAUCAAUAAAUUGGGAAGAUGUGAAUUCAACGGUUCAAAAUGAAAAUGCUAGUCUUGCCGAGCUUCAAAAACUACCCAAAUUGACAGCUCUAGAAUUACAAAUUCGUGAGACUUGGAUGUUGCCAAGGGACUUGCAAUUGGUGUUUGAGAAGCUGGAAAGAUAUAAAAUAGCUAUUGGAGAUGUAUGGGACUGGUCUGACAUUGAGGAUGGAACCUUAAAAACAUUGAUGCUCAAACUUGGUACAAACAUACAUUUGGAGCAUGGAAUUAAAGCAUUGAUUGAAGAUGUUGAGAAUUUGUAUUUGGAUGAUGUAGAUGGAAUUCAAAAUGUGCUUCCUAACCUAAAUAGAGAAGGAUUUACAUUGCUGAAACAUCUCCACGUCCAAAAUAAUACUAACUUGAAUCACAUUGUUGAAAAUAAAGAGAGAAAUCAAAUCCAUGCGUCCUUUCCCAUCUUGGAAACACUAGUACUUCUUAAUCUUAAAAAUUUGGAGCAUAUUUUUCAUGGUCAACCUUCAAUUGCUUCUUUUGGAAAACUCAGUGUUAUCAAAGUCAAAAACUGCGUCCAAUUAAAAUAUAUAUUCUCAUAUCCAGUGGUUAAAGAACUUUACCACAUUUCUAAGAUUAAAGUUUGUGAGUGCAAUUCUAUGAAGGAAGUAGUGUUCGGAGACAACAAUUCAAGUGCAAAAAAUGAUAUCAUUGAUGAAAAAAUUGAGUUUCUUCAAUUGCGUUUUUUGACUUUAGAACAUUUGGAGACACUUGAUAAUUUCGCCUCUGAUUAUUUGACGCAUCUUAGAAGUAAGGAAAAGUAUCAAGGUGUAGAGCCUUAUGCUUGUACUACACCGUUUUUCAAUGCUCAGGUAUGCUAUUUUGUUUUUAGCUUCUUUAGAUACAAAUGAUAUAAUUUUUAAUUUUGUGAUAUGUACAAACAGAUUGAUUCAUGAAUAAACUGGUACGUUUAGUGAAGAUUUUUUUUUUUUUGAGUAAAUGAACAAGAUUAAUAUUUUCUGUUCAAAACACUAUAAUGCUUAUUUUUUCCCACAAAACUACAACAGAUGUGAUAAUAAAAGUCAUUUUAAAAAUUUUAAGUAUACUAUUAGUUAAAAAUUAGUUUUUAUUCUUAAAAAAUAUAUUUAAAUAGACUUCAUACUGUUUCAUAGUUUUUACUUUUUAAUUAUACUAUUAGUUAUACGUUGUUUCAAUGUUUCAUAUUAUAAGAGUAAUGAUUUCUGCUAAUUUGUUUUUAUGUAGGUCGCAUUUCCUAAUUUGGAUACCCUUAAAUUGAGCUCACUUCUCAAUUUGAAUAAAAUUUGGGAUGUCAAUCAUCAAUCAAUGUGCAACUUGACUAGCUUGAUUGUGGAUAAUUGUGUUGGAUUGAAGUAUUUAUUUCCCUCUACUUUGGUUGAAAGUUUUUUGAAUCUCAAAUACCUUGAGAUAAGUAAUUGUCUUAUAAUGGAGGAUAUAAUAACUAAAGAAGAUAGAAAUAAUGCAGUAAAAGAGGUAUGGUAAUUCUAUUAUUGAAAACAUCCAAUUUUUUAAAAUUGUAAUUUAUAUAAUUAUUUAUACUGAUGGUGGUUAUUCAUGAUUUAGGUUCAUUUUUUGAAAUUAGAGAAAAUCAUAUUGAAGGAUAUGGACAGCUUGAAGACAAUAUGGCAUCAGCAAUUUGAAACAUCGAAGAUGUUGAAAGUGAACAAUUGUAAGAAAAUUGUGGUUGUUUUUCCUUCUUCAAUGCAAAACACAUACAAUGAGCUAGAGAAGUUGGAGGUUAGAAAUUGUGAUUUAGUUGAAGAGAUAUUUGAAUUGAAUUUGAAUGAAAAUAACAGCGAAGAGGUUAUGACACAAUUGAAAGAGGUUACUCUAGAUGGACUGUUGAAGUUGAAAAAGAUAUGGAGUGAAGAUCCUCAAGGAAUUCUUAGUUUUCAAAAUCUAAUAAAUGUACAAGUAGUUGGUUGUUCAAGCUUGGAGUAUUCAUUACCAUUCUCCAUAGCCACUCGUUGCUCACAUCUCAAGGAACUUUGUAUAAAAUCUUGUUGGAAAAUGAAGGAAAUUGUUGCAGAGGAGAAAGAAUCUAGUGUGAAUGCAGCUCCGGUAUUUGAAUUUAAUCAACUAAGUACUUUAUUGCUUUGGCACUCACCUAAACUCAAUGGUUUCUAUGCUGGAAAUCAUACUCUGCUAUGUCCAUCUUUGAGGAAAGUUGAUGUUUACAAUUGUACAAAGUUGAAUUUGUUUAGAACUCAUUCUACAAGAAGCUCCAAUUUUGGAGAUGACAAACACUCUGUUUUAAAGCAACAACCACUUUUCAUUGCUGAAGAGGUAUGCAUAUCAAUAUAAUAAAUGUAGGACUUGUUUUUUGUUUUUCUCUACAGUAAGGAAUUAGUGUUAUUCUUUUGAAAUACCAAACAAUAAUUAUUAUACUUGUAUUCAAUUGAAUAAUUCUGAUUCAUUCAACUUUUACAAUUGAAUUAGAUGGCGUGUAAAAGUAUUUGACAAUUUCUUGAGGAAAAAAUUGAAAAAGUACAGAGGUAUUGGCAAAAAUUAAAAAGACAAAAUUUUAGGUGAUUAUUGUUUAAAUAUGUUUUAGGUGAUUCCAAACUUGGAGUUUUUGAGGAUGGAACAGGCGGAUGCUGACAUGCUAUUGCAAACUAAAAACUCAUGUGCCCUCUUUUGCAAAAUGACCUAUCUUGGAUUGGCUGGCUAUAACACCGAAGAUGCUAGAUUUCCUUAUUGGUUUCUUGAAAAUGUGCAUACUCUUGAGUCACUAUAUGUUGGGGGGAGUCAAUUCAAGAAGAUUUUCCAAGAUAAAGGAGAAAUAAGUGAGAAGACUCAUCUACAUAUAAAAAGCCUGACAUUGAAUCACUUACCUAAACUUCAACAUAUAUGUGAGGAAGGAUCUCAAAUUGACCCAGUUCUUGAGUUCCUUGAAUGCUUAAAUGUUGAAAACUGUUCUAGUUUGAUAAAUUUGAUGCCUUCCUCUGUCACCCUUAAUCAUCUCACAAAGUUAGAGGUAAUAAGAUGCAAUGGGCUAAAAUAUUUGAUCACAACUCCUACUGCACGAAGUUUGGACAAGCUCACUGUGCUGAAGAUAAAAGAUUGUAAUUCACUUGAAGAAGUAGUUAAUGGAGUAGAAAAUGUUGACAUUGCUUUUAUUAGUUUACAAAUUUUGAUGUUGGAAUGUUUGCCAAGCCUCGUCAAGUUUUGCUCUAGUGAGUGUUUCAUGAAGUUUCCGUUGUUGGAGAAAGUAAUUGUGGGGGAAUGUCCUCGCAUGAAGAUUUUCUCUGCCAAAGACACAAGCACACCAAUUCUUCGAAAAGUUAAAAUUGCACAAAAUGAUUCAGAAUGGCAUUGGAAAGGAAACUUAAACGAUACAAUAUACAACAUGUUUGAAGAUAAGGUAUGUUUAUUCAUAAUGGCAUUUGGGUUUCUAUUUUCUCUUGUUUUCUUUGGAUGCAUAGUAGUUGAUUUUUAAUUUACAUAAUAGUUGAACUUUGUGGAAAAACAACUAUUUGGAGACUUUGAAAGUACUUCGCAAUAUACUCUUAAAAAAAGUUAAAGAGAUACAUAGUGUCAAAAGAAAGAAAGUCAUAUUUGAUAAAAAGAAGAAAAAAAAUCAUAGAAAUGGACCCUGAGGUUGUAACAAAGACUUCAAAAUUCAAAGAGUUUGUAGUCAUGUUUUAUAAACAAUUAUAAUAAUAUAAAUAUAUGCCGUUAAAAAAAUAGUAAUUUUGAUUUUUUUAGGGUAGUAAUUUUGAUUUGUCUCUUCAUAUAUAGUCCUUAUAAUUAACCAGCUUAGUGAGUGCUGCUAGCCAUGGAGUGCUUUGUCGUGACUUUAUAACGACUUUCAUAUUUCGACAUAUAUAAAACACAUGUAGUUUCAUAACCAUUUUUUAAGAUGAUUUUCUAAAGUACAACUCUACUAUAAAAAAAUACAAGGUAUCCAGUACGUGUAAAUAUUUUAUUAUUUUUUUUAUAAAAAAAAUAAAUAUAUAAAUGUCGAAUGGAUGUUUUGGCAAAAAUUUGUUUGAUUUUACUCCAAUUAAUGCUUACAUUUAAAUGUUUAUUUUGUAUAGGUCCAAUUUAAACAUUCUUUAUUGUUGGAGAAAUAUACUGAUAAAAAUUGAACUUUUUUCUCACUAUAUCACCUGUGUGUGUGGAAAUGAUGAAAAGAAUAAUUUUGAUUUUACAAGAGAUGAAAAAAUUGAUUUAUAUUUUAAUGGAGAUGAAUAAUUUGAUCUUAACCUCGAAGGCGAGUGGAAAAUAGAUUGAUUUAAUUUUUAAUGAAGAUGAAUAAUUGGAGGAGAAUAAGAAAUGUUAACCUUAUAAUUUUCAAAUGUUAGCGCAAUAAAAAUAGCGCUUGUCAGACUACCUUGAGAACCAGCAGACUUCUUUGAGGAAUGAUGCUGAUGUUGUUGAUGAAAGUGUGUUAGCGCAAUAGUUGACAAAAUCUAACUAAUUUUCAUGAAAAUAUAAAUUUUAUAAAAAAAUAUGAUAAUUUAUACGUGUUAGUGCAAUAGAAAGAACUGAUAAACGGUUAAAAAAAAAUAUCAGCGUUAGCCCGUCCAAUGCUAGUAUAUAUAAAGCACGUCAACUGUCCUCGUGAGCUUAGCUCGGUUGGUUUGAACAAUGCAUAAAAUAUGCAAGAUUUGGAGUUCAAACUAGACUACCAUAUAAAAAAAAAAAAAGCACGUCAAUUGAAAGGCAAAUUAGCGUUUAGAUAAAUAUAAUGAUAAUUUAAAUUAUCAUUUUGGAAAAAAAGAUCUACGUGGUUAUUUAUAAAACAAAACACCAUAGAAGUAGUUUAAUACGUGAACUUAUAACUACUAACGCUUAAUAAUGUUUAGAAACUAAAAGUCGUAUUAUAGGUGAUUGCAGCAUUAGCUACAAAGAAUCUACUCAAUAACUACCAACUACUAAUAUUUCUUUUGACUUUUUUUUUUUGUCCGGCAAAAAUUAUUAUGCAUAAGUCAUUUCCUUAUGCACCCUGUAUAAACACUUCACAAAACCAUUAGACAAUUAUUUUGGUUUCUCAUAUAAGACUAUCAAAACCAUUAAACCAUAAUUAUCAGGAACAAACAAAUCAUAAAGAUUUUUAUCUUUAUUUUCUGUUAUCAUUUGAUCAACACGACUUUUUUUCUUUUUUCAACUCCAACUUUUUCGCCUCUUACUCUUAUGAAUCAAUGGUAGUCUUAUGGUUUGAUAUAGAAGAGAUUGUUCAUGCUUUUUUGUAGGCAGGCGAAUAGGUUCAAUAAAAAAUAUGCUUUUUUGUAGGCAGACGAAUAGGUUCAAUAAAAAAUAUUAGCCUUUCCUUCAAGUCCUCAGUGUCCCUACAUUUUGUAUAACAAAAAUCCUUCGUAAUUGAAUCAACCAGCAUUUCUAUAUCUAGCUCUAGCUUUUUAAUCGACAUUAUUACAAUUUUUUAAAAUUUUUUCAUUCUAAGCAGGAGACAAAAUAAGUUGGUAUUAUCCAUUCCUAUUUCUUCGUCGGAACUAUCACAGUGCAAAUAAAAACCCAAAUAUUUUGAUAGUAAGAAAUCAUGUUCUCCCUUUAGAUCGGUCCUGUAUUUAGAAUCUGAUCCUUUAUAAUAGUAUGAGCCAGAUUUAAGAUCUUCAUCUACUGUAUUCACGUAUUCUUCUGUUGUUAACUCUAAAUUAUCAAGCUGCAAAACAAAGAAUUUUAUUGGUAAGAUCCAAGGAUUCAUCUUAUAUGCACAAUAAAAUUUGCUUAAUUUUGAAAAGAACCAAAAUCCGGGAAUAAGGAAGUUAUUCUUCGGUAUAGAAGUCUUUUUCCUUUUUACAUUCAUUCCCAUCCAAUUGAAAUACUUUCUAUCCGGAUUUUUUUCUAGAUUUUUUUCCAUAUCUAGAAUAUCAUAUUCUUCUAGAUAAUUUUGGAUAGAGAUAACGCCUAUUAUAUCCAAAAAUUCUUUUCUACAUAGGUUGUAAUUAUAAGAAAUUUUUGUUUCCUUGCGGUGAUCUAUAUCCAUAAAUAUAGGAUUUUUUCUUAUCCGCAAAAUGAAUAUAUUGAUAGGAGAAAAGAUCAUAUCUAUAUUGUUUUUUAAUUUUGUUUUUAAUUUCUAUUUUUAAUAAGUCUCCUUCUUGUUCUUGUUUUUUGGAAAGAAUUAAUUGAUUUUUUUCAAAUGAAUCAUAUUCAACUAAAUCUUUAUUUUGAGCCACACGAUGUUCAUUGAUUUUAUUCCUCCAGUUUUGUGAUACUCAUCUCGACCAUCUGUUCUCAGGUAAAUCAUAUUGAUAAAGAACCUUUAACCAAUUUGUCCAUUGAUUCAUUAACGAAUCGGGACGUUUCUUAUGUCUUAAUUUGGAAUUAUAUGUUCCUUGUAUUCUAAAAAAAAUAAUCCUUUAUUUCAUUCUUAAGAAAAAAAGAUCUUUCAGGAGAUUCAAAAAUAGAUCUUAACUUAAAUUUAUAUCCAUUACUAACUUGGAUUUGUGAUAAUUUAUAAAAUACAUAUGCUUGUGACAAAGAAGAUACAUCCAAGAAUUCCGUGAAUUCAUAUUCGUAAUAUUCCCAGAUUUGUCUAUAAUCGACAUAAAUGGAAUUAUACUUUGAUUUUCAAUUCUUUUUGCAUUUUUUUUUGUAGUAAAUGGAUUUUUUUACAUUUAGUAUUUUGUCUAUUGAUUCAAGAAAAUAAAAAAAAACGUUGUCGAUGGAUCCUAGCAAUACUACUGAUACGUAAAAGGAUAUCUAUGUAUAUCCCUUCUAUGAAAAUUUUGAAAAAAGAAUAGGAUUUACGUAUUAAUCGAACAAAUCUUCUUUUUAAGAUUUGCAAAAUAUUUUUUUGUAAUUCUAAUCUUUUAGCAUAAGUAGUUUUGUUCGAAUUCAAAUUGAUCUCUGAAGUUAGAAUCCCCUUUUUUUUUUUUUCUUCUGUCAUUGUUUCUAUUUGUUUUAUGAUUGUCUUUGUUUUAACAUUAAGAUCUUCUAUCCUUUUUUCUGUGAAUGAAGAAUUUGUUCAAUUAAUAGAUUCCAUUUUAACAGGUGAUUCCUCAAUCACCUCAAUCUUUAAAUUAUUCUUGCUAAUUGUUGAAGUUUUUUUUUCUUUCACUCAGUUCAUCUAUUGUUUUGAACCUAAAUAGAAUACUUUUAAGUUUUGAUGUUUCAGUUUUCUAUUUUUUUUAACAUAGUUCGAAACCAUUUUUUUCUUUCAUUUAAAAAUUUUAGAACUAGAAAAAAACGCUUUUUCAAAUCUUUUUUCAUUCAUAUCCUAUCAAUUCCAUCAAGAGUGUCUUGAAUCCAUUCAUAUCCUGUCAAUACUGAAUUUCUACAUGAUUAAUAAUUCUGUCAGCGUAGGCAUUUCCUUCUGAAUUUCAAAGAUUCAAACAUUUAAGCUAGCUAUUUCUAAUGUUCCAAGUGACACAAUGAUAGAUUGGGAAGUAGAUAUAACCAACAUGUUAUCCAUUUAAAUCCAAAUAUUCCUCCAACUAUGCUCGUAAGGAGUCUAAAUAGUGAGCAUGACCGUCGUAAUCUGUGCACACAAGGUCGUUGAUAUGCCUAAAUUAGUAGCAAAACCUGCUACAGAUUGGCAUUCGAGUCGCUGAAAAUAUCUGGACAUGAAGCGUUACCAGGACACCCAUGGGCAACAUCGCUUCUGUUACAUUUAACCCGUUUUUAAGCCUCUCAAGCAUGGCCAUCUAUUAUGCUAAGUUCUGGAGUUCCUCAGCCAAGUAAUAACAACAUAAUCUUUAUCCCACUGAGGAAAGUUAGGAGCAAUUACCAGAGGUCUCUUCUAAGAACAUAUGAUAUUUUAAUGGAAAAUAUGGUUUUGGGAUAACAUCCCUGUUAUGGGCAUUGGUUGGAUCAUUUCUGGACUGUUUUCUAAUCUUUUUUAUCAUUUUAUUCUCUAUAUUAGAAAUAACUAUUUGAAAUUUUCCAUGGUUAGGAAUCUCAUGUCAAUGAGUAUUUUUUACUUCAUCUUCAUAGUCAACACCCCAGCGAGUUAAGAUUGAGAGCUUUUUAAGCAUGCAAAGUCGAAGGAACUGUUCCAUCUUCUGUGGGAUAUCAGCUUAUGAACUAUAUUUUACUACUACAUUUGUUUGAAUUAACACGCGAUACAAUUGUUUUUGCAGGUGGGAUUUGGUAGUUUCAAGCAUUUAAAACUAACUGAAUAUCCCGAGCUAAAAGAAUUGUGGUAUGGUCAACUUGAGCAUAACGCAUUUAGGAGUUUGAAGCAUCUAGUGGUUCAUAAAUGUGAUUUUUUAUCCAAUGUGCUCUUUCAACCUAACUUGGUAGGAGUACUGAUGAACUUGGAAAAAUUAGAUGUGAAGAAUUGUAAUUCAUUAGAAGCAGUUUUUGAUUUGAAAGGUGAAUUCACAGAAGAAAUUGCUGUGCAGAAUUCUACUCAAUUGAAGAAAUUAAAACUAUCCAAUCUUCCAAAACUGAAGCAUGUAUGGAAAGAGGAUCCACAUUACACUAUGAGGUUUCAAAAUUUAAGUGUUGUAUCUGUUGCGGAUUGCAAAAGCUUGAUAAGCCUCUUUCCACUCUCAGUGGCUAGAGAUAUGAUGCAACUUCAAAGUCUUCUUGUAAGUAACUGUGGGAUUGAAGAAAUUGUUGUCAAGGAAGAAGGACCAGAUGAGAUGGUUAAAUUUGUGUUUCCUCAUUUGACUUCCAUUGAACUUGAUAAUUUGACCAAACUUAAAGCAUUCUUUGUUGGGGUCCAUUCUCUUCAAUGUAAAUCAUUGAAAACCAUCAAGUUGUUUAAAUGUCCAAGAAUAGAGCUAUUUAAGGCAGAGCCAUUGAAACUCCAAGAAAGUUCCAAAAAUGUUGAGCAAAAUAUCUCAACUUAUCAACCUCUUUUUGUGUUUGAAGAGGUAAGAGUAGCGUUCAAUAUCAUAUCCUGCCUUUUAAUGUACAUGCACAACUUUUUAUAAUGUAUAUAUUAGACAAUUUAUUCACCAUGUCUAUUUCGUUAAUUGAAUGUUAAUGAUUAAUAAUUUUAUGUGAUAAUAUUCUACUGGCACAAGAUAUAAUGUUUUUAAUUGUUUCAAAAACUGGUAAAGAAAAUAUAUAUUUCUUAAGUAUAAUUUUGAUUUUGCAGGAGCUACUUACAAGUGUGGAGAGUACACCUCAAUUCAGAGAGUUGGAAUUAUUGCAGCUGCACAAGCUUAAAUAUAUAUGUAAAGAAGGAUUUCAAAUGGAUCCUUUUCUGCAUUUUCUUGAAAGCAUUGAUGUUUGCCAAUGUUCCAGUCUGAUAAAGUUGGUUCCGUCCUCUGUUACCUUUAGUUACAUGACCUAUUUGGAGGUAACAAACUGCAAUGGGUUGAUAAAUUUGAUAACACACUCAACAGCAAAGAGUCUUGUCAAACUCACAACAAUGAAGAUUGAAAUGUGUAAUUGGCUUGAGGAUAUAGUGAAUGGUAAAGAAGAUGAGACAAACGAGAUUGUAUUUUGCAGUUUACAAACUCUAGAACUAAUUUCUUUACAAAGACUCAUUCGAUUUUGCUCAUGCCCAUGCCCCAUUAUGUUCCCGUUGCUGGAAGUUGUUGUUGUCAAAGAAUGUCCUCGAAUGGAACUUUUUUCAUUGGGAGUUACAAACACAACAAAUCUUCAAAAUGUACAAACCGAUGAAGAAAAUCAUAGGGAGGGUGACCUCAACAGAACCAUAAAGAAAAUGUUUUUUGAUAAGGUAUAUUUUAUUAUCAUCCAUCAAUUUAUUUAGAUCAAUUUUAAGACUAUCUAUCUAGAUCAAUUUUGUAUUGUAGUAGACUAGAAUAUUAAUGCAUAAUUAAAGAUUGCUUAAAAGCAAUUUUGAUUUGUCUUUUGAUUUAUUAAUUUGAAUGAUCAGGUUGCAUUUGGUGAAUUCAAGUACUUAGCCUUAUCUGACUAUCCUGAGAUAAAGGAUUUGUGGUAUGGCCAACUUCAUCACAACAUGUUCUGCAAUUUGAAACAUCUUGUGGUGGAAAGAUGUGUAUUUUUUAUCACAUGUACUUUUUCCAUCAAAUGUAAUGCAAGUGCUACAAACAUUGGAAGAACUAGAAGUAAAAGAUUGUGAUUCCUUAGAAGCAGUGUUUGAUGUGAAAGGUAUGAAGUCACAAAAAAUAAUGAUUAAACAAAGCACUCAAUUGAAAAGAUUAACUGUGUCUAGCUUACCCAAAUUGAAGCACAUAUGGAAUGANNNNNNNNNNNNNNNNNNNNNNNNNNNNNNNNNNNNNNNNNNNNNNNNNNNNNNNNNNNNNNNNNNNNNNNNNNNNNNNNNNNNNNNNNNNNNNNNNNNNGGAUCCUCACCCUAGAAUCCACCAAUAAAUUAUAACAAAAAAAUUCGAAAUUAUAAUAUUACCUAAUUUUUUUAAUUUUGAAAAAGAUUUUAUAAAAUUUCUAGAAUAAAAUUUUCGAAAAAAAAUCUGAAUUUUUUCUAUUGAAAUUUUGGAAUAAAAAUUCUGGAAAAAGAUUAACUAUUUUUUUUAUGUUUUCAAAAAAUAUUAUCUAAAUACCGGAAAAUAUUUUCAAUUUUUUAUUUUAAAAAAAUUCAAGAAAAAUAUUUUCAGAAUUUUUAAUUCUGGAAAAAUAUUAUCUAAUGUUUUGUUUUUUUUAACUAUGAAAAAUAUUUUCCAAUAUUUUUAUUUUUUGUAUAAAAAACUGAACUUUUUAACUUCGAAAGAAAAAUCUGAACUUUUUUUGAAAUAUAUAUUCUAAUUAUUAUAAAAAAAUUGAAAUAAAUUAAGUUCGAUAAUUUUUAAUUUUUUUUUAUAAAAUAAAACUUCUUACUUUUUAAAAAAAUAUGAAUUAUUUUUAUUAUUUUUAAUUUUUCCAGAAUUUAUUAAUUUUUUUAAUAUUUCUAGAUUCUUUUUUUUUUUUUUUAAGAAUUUUUUUCCUUUUUUGAAAAAAAAGGCACAAAUGCCACAUGUACCCAUACAAAAAAUGAAAAACAAAAUUAAUUAUACAGUCUGUACGCCACAUGAUCAGAAAAAAGUGACUCUGCCCCACUAUUAAUUUGUCUCUUUAAUUAUACUAAGAGAUUUGACGCUUUAAUCCCUUUGCAUUUUUGUUUUAUUAAUUUGUCUUUCACUUUUUUGCUAUUUUCCCAUUCCUAUGGCAAAAAAAUUGGAAGUGAUGGAAAGUUAUCUCAUAUUUUCUGCAUCUUUAAUUUGUACCACACUAUUAAGAGGGUUCAUGUUCUUCAAACAUGAUCAACAUACCUUAUGAUCUUUAUUUUUUGUAAUUUAAUCUAUCUGUUCAAAUAUUACAACAAAAUAAUAACCGGUUUUCUUGACGCAUUCCAACCCAAAUUGUUAGCAAAUUCUUUCUAAAAGUUUUAACACCAUUUGGCGAAAACUUACACUAACAGUUAAUGUCGCUUCAUGUCCAAACCCGAGUUUUAACCAGAGAUUUUUUCGUAUUUUACCUACCGUAAUUAGUAUCUUUGACCACAAUAGAUAUCCCAAGGUAUCACUGUGGGCUUUGGCACUUUGGGUCUGCUAUGAGACUAAUUUUCGAAUCGGGAGCAAUUCAUCUAGUUUUUUUUUGUUAGAGGGUUUGGCUACCUCUCAAAUGGGCGACUCUAGGAAUCAAACACACUGUUCUUCUGCUCGAGAUAAUCAUCUUUCCAACUCUCCCACCAUGAUGUUGGUCGAACUCAAUUCCUUGGCUAAGAAUCUUUCAUUAAUUCAGACAUUUUAUAAUUAGAAAUUCUACCUUGAAAUUUUGUUAGGGGUCUUGCUAACCAGUACCUUAGGGACAAAGGUUAAUGAAUUUAUCAUUAGAAAUUUUAUCUUGAAAAUAUAAGUUUUGACUUUUGAUUAUAUUACACCAUUUUCUAUAAAAGGUUACUUGUUUUGGUUGUUUAUCCAAUGCUCGGGGCACUAGUUAGCAUUAUCCUUAUUAUUUUACAUGCUAUUUACUUAUAUCUUUAAUUUUUUUUUAUUGAUUAAAGAAUACUUAUACCUUUAUUUUUUUUAUUGGCUGUCAUGAUUGGUUACACAUGAUUGUAAUGAAAUUCAAUUUGCACAGUCUACCUUUAUUAUGUUCUAUUUAUUAAUUGCAGUUUUUCAUCGAAAAUAAGAGUAAUUUGUUAAUUUUCUCACAUUUUCAAAUGUUGCCCUUGUUUCUUUUGCCCUUAUCCAUAAAUAGUGUAUCUUUUUACUUUCACUUUCAGAUUUUGACUCAAGUCACAAGGAAGAGCAGAAGAAAAAAAAAAUCAAUGGAAAUUUUAAUUUCUAUUGUUGGAAAAAUAGCAGAAUAUACCGUUGUGCCUAUUGGACGUCAAACAAGUUACUUGAUAUUCUACAAAGGUAACUUCAAGACGUUAAAGGAUCAUGUUGAAGACCUUGAGGCUGCAAGAGAAAGAAUGAUCCAUUCAGUUGAAAGUGAAAGGGAAAAUGGUAAAGAAAUUGAAAAAGAUGUUCUGAAUUGGUUGGAGAAAGUGGAUGGGGUCAUUAAAGUGGCGAAUCAGCUUCAAAACGAUUCUCGCAAUGCAAAUGUUAGGUGCUCACCAUGGUCAUUCCCAAAUUUAAUUUUGCGUCAUCAACUAAGUAGGAAUGCCAGAAAAAUUGCAAAUAAUGUUGUUGAAGUUGUUCAAGGGAAAGAAAAGUUUAAUUCAGUUGGUCACUUUCCCCCUCUAGAUGUAGUAGCGUCCUCCUCAACAAGAGAUGGUGAAAAGUAUGACACAAGGGAGUCGCUUAAGGAGGACAUUGUGAAGGCUUUAGCAGAUCCUACUUCACGCAACAUUGGGGUCUAUGGGUUGGGUGGAGUGGGGAAGACCACUCUGGUGGAGAAAGUUGCUCAAAUAGCCAAGGAACUUAAAUUGUUCCAUAAAGUGGUUAAGACAGAAGUUUCUAAAAAUCCAGACAUUAAAAGAAUUCAAGGGGAGAUUGCCGAUUUCAUGGGUCUGCGAUUUGAAGAGGAGACUAUUCUUGGCAGAGCACAACGCCUAAGACAAACAAUCAAGAUGAAGAAAAGCAUCCUUAUCAUUCUAGAUAACAUAUGGACCAUACUUGAUUUGAAAGAAGUGGGGAUACCAGUUGGUGAUGAACAUAAUGGUGAUGAACAUAAUGGAUGCAAAUUGUUGAUGACAAGUAGAGAUGAAGAUGUGUUGCUUCAAAUGGAUGUCCCAAAGGAUUUCACUUUCAAAGUUAAACUUAUGCGUGAAAACGAGACAUGGAGUUUGUUUCAAUUUAUGGCAGGGGAUGUGGUUAAAGAUAGCAAUUUGAAAGAUCUACCAUUUCAAGUGGCCAGAAAAUGUGAAGGUUUGCCUCUUAGGGUAGUGACAGUAGCGCGUGCAAUGAAAAAUAAGAGGGAUGUUCAGUCUUGGAAAGAUGCAUUAAGGAAAUUACAAAGUAAUGAUCAUACAGAGAUGGACCCGGGAACUUAUUCUGCUUUGGAAUUGAGUUACAACUCAUUGGAGAGUGAUGAUAUGAGGGCUCUCUUCUUGCUUUUUGCAUUAUUCCUAGAUGAACAAAUAGAGUACUUUCUCAAAGUUGCAAUGGGGUUGGACAUAUUGAAGCAUCUUAAUGCCAUAGAUGAUGCAAGAAACAGACUUUACAGAAUAAUCAAAUCUUUGGAGGCGGCUUGUCUUUUGCUUGAAGUUAAAACAGUUGGAAAUAUCCAAAUGCAUGACUUUGUUCGUGAUUUUGCUAUCUCCAUAGCACGUAGGGACAAGCAUAUAUUUCUAAGAAAACAAUCUGAUGAGGAAUGGCCAACCAAUGAUUUUCUAAAAAGGUGCACUCAGAUCUUUCUAAAAAGAUGUCAUACACUCGAGCUUCCUCAAACGAUUGAUUGUCCAAACGUUAAGCUUUUCUAUUUGGGCAGUAACAAUUCUUCUUUCAAAAUCCCUGAUGCUUUUUUUGAGGGUAUGAGAAGCCUUAGAGUGCUAGAUUUAACGCACUUGAACUUGUUAUCAUUACCCACAUCGUUUCGGUUAUUAAGAGACCUUCAAACAUUGUGUUUGCAUCAAUGCGUUUUGGAAAAUAUGGAUGCACUAGAAGCUUUGCAAAAUUUAGAAAUUCUUUGCCUUUGGAAAUCUUCAAUGAUCAAGUUGCCAAGAGAAAUAGGGAGAUUGAUUCGAUUGAGAAUGCUUGACUUGAGCCAUUCAGGAAUAGAAGUAGUCCCACCCAACAUCAUAUCAAGCUUGACUAAAUUGGAGGAGUUGUACAUGGGUAAUACCUCUAUUAAUUGGGAAGAUGUGAGUUCAACGGUUCAUAAUGAAAAUGCUAGUCUUGCCGAGCUUCGAAAACUACCCAACUUGACAGCUCUAGAAUUACAAAUUCGUGAGACUUGGAUGUUGCCAAGGGACUUGCAAUUGGUGUUUGAGAAGCUGGAAAGAUAUAAAAUAGCUAUUGGAGAUGUAUGGGACUGGUCUGACAUCAAGGAUGGAACCUUAAAAACAUUGAUGCUCAAACUUGGUACAAACAUACAUUUGGAGCAUGGAAUUAAAGCAUUGAUUAAAGGUGUUGAGAAUUUGUAUUUGGAUGAUGUAGAUGGAAUUCAAAAUGUGCUUCCUAACCUAAAUAGAGAAGGAUUUACAUUGCUGAAACAUCUCCACGUCCAAAAUAAUACUAACUUGAAUCACAUUGUUGACAAUAAAGAGAGAAAUCAAAUCCAU
rnacentral:lncRNA from 1 species